rnacentral:rRNA from 1 species
GACGAACGCUGGCGGCGUGCUUAACACAUGCAAGUCGAACGGAAAGGCCCUGCUCUUGUGGGGUGCUCGAGUGGCGAACGGGUGAGUAACACGUGAGUAUCCUGCCCUUGACUUUGGGAUAACUUCAGGAAACUGGGGCUAAUACCGGAUAGGAGCUCCUGCUGCAUGGUGGGGGUUGGAAAGAUUCGGCGGUUGGGGAUGGACUCGCGGCUUAUCAGCUUGUUAGUCGAGUAGUUGCUGACCAAGCCUUUGACGGGUAGCCGGCCUGGGAGGGGUAACGGCGACAUUGGGACUGAGAUACGGACCAGACGGCUAUGGGAGGCAGCAGGGGGGAAUAUGGCACAAUGGGCGGAAGCCUGAUGCAGCAGCGCCGCGUGCGGGAUGACGGCUUUCGGGUUAUAAACCGCUUUCGCAUGUGACGAAGCGUGAGUGACGGUAAUGGGUAAAGAAGCACCGGCUAACUACGUG